AGUUUGAUCCUGGCUCAGGAUGAACGCUGGCGGCAUGCCUAACACAUGCAAGUCGAACGGACACCUCCGGGUGUCAGUGGCGAACGGGUGAGUAACGCGUAGGAAUCUACCCCUCGGGAGGGGGAUAACAGCUGGAAACGGCUGCUAAUACCCCAUACAGGCGCAAGCUGAAAGGAGUAAUCCGCCCAGGGAUGAGCCUGCGUCCGGAUUAGCUAGUUGGUGGGGUAAUGGCCUACCAAGGCGACGAUCCGUAGCGGGUCUGAGAGAUGGCCCCGCACAGUGGGACUGAGACACGGCCCAGACUCCUACGCGGGCCAGCAGUGGGGAAUUUUCCGCAAUGGCCGAAAGCUCGACGGGGCAAUGGCGCGUGAGGGAAG
rnacentral:rRNA from 1 species